rnacentral:rRNA from 1 species
AGAGUUUGAUCAUGGCUCAGAUUGAACGCUGGCGGCAGGCCUAACACAUGCAAGUCGAACGGUAACAGGAAGCAGCUUGCUGCUUUGCUGACGAGUGGCGGACGGGUGAGUAAUGUCUGGGAAACUGCCUGAUGGAGGGGGAUAACUACUGGAAACGGUGGCUAAUACCGCAUAACGUCGCAAGACCAAAGAGGGGGACCUUCGGGCCUCUUGCCAUCAGAUGUGCCCAGAUGGGAUUAGCUUGUUGGUGAGGUAACGGCUCACCAAGGCGACGAUCCCUAGCUGGUCUGAGAGGAUGACCAGCCACACUGGAACUGAGACACGGUCCAGACUCCUACGGGAGGCAGCAGUGGGGAAUAUUGCACAAUGGGCGCAAGCCUGAUGCAGCCAUGCCGCGUGUAUGAAGAAGGCCUUCGGGUUGUAAAGUACUUUCAGCGGGGAGGAAGGUGUUGUGGUUAAUAACCGCAGCAAUUGACGUUACCCGCAGAAGAAGCACCGGCUAACUCCGUGCCAGCAGCCGCGGUAAUACGGAGGGUGCAAGCGUUAAUCGGAAUUACUGGGCGUAAAGCGCACGCAGGCGGUCUGUCAAGUCGGAUGUGAAAUCCCCGGGCUCAACCUGGGAACUGCAUUCGAAACUGGCAGGCUUGAGUCUUGUAGAGGGGGGUAGAAUUCCAGGUGUAGCGGUGAAAUGCGUAGAGAUCUGGAGGAAUACCGGUGGCGAAGGCGGCCCCCUGGACAAAGACUGACGCUCAGGUGCGAAAGCGUGGGGAGCAAACAGGAUUAGAUACCCUGGUAGUCCACGCCGUAAACGAUGUCUACUUGGAGGUUGUGCCCUUGAGGCGUGGCUUCCGGAGCUAACGCGUUAAGUAGACCGCCUGGGGAGUACGGCCGCAAGGUUAAAACUCAAAUGAAUUGACGGGGGCCCGCACAAGCGGUGGAGCAUGUGGUUUAAUUCGAUGCAACGCGAAGAACCUUACCUGGUCUUGACAUCCACAGAACUUUCCAGAGAUGGAUUGGUGCCUUCGGGAACUGUGAGACAGGUGCUGCAUGGCUGUCGUCAGCUCGUGUUGUGAAAUGUUGGGUUAAGUCCCGCAACGAGCGCAACCCUUAUCCUUUGUUGCCAGCGAUUAGGUCGGGAACUCAAAGGAGACUGCCAGUGAUAAACUGGAGGAAGGUGGGGAUGACGUCAAGUCAUCAUGGCCCUUACGACCAGGGCUACACACGUGCUACAAUGGCGCAUACAAAGAGAAGCGACCUCGCGAGAGCAAGCGGACCUCAUAAAGUGCGUCGUAGUCCGGAUUGGAGUCUGCAACUCGACUCCAUGAAGUCGGAAUCGCUAGUAAUCGUGGAUCAGAAUGCCACGGUGAAUACGUUCCCGGGCCUUGUACACACCGCCCGUCACACCAUGGGAGUGGGUUGCAAAAGAAGUAGGUAGCUUAACCUUCGGGAGGGCGCUUACCACUUUGUGAUUCAUGACUGGGGUGAAGUCGUAACAAGGUAACCGUAGGGGAACCUGCGGUUGGAUCACCUCCUUACCUGAAAGAA